AAUAAAUAUAACUUUUCAAUAUUCCCCACAACUGCUCCAUUUCCAACCCCACAAGUAAUCUUACAACUCUAAAAUUUCAUAAAACUUUAUAUUAUAAAUAUAAAGAGUAUAGUACCAAUUUUUUUUAAUUUUAUCCAUCCAACAAAAAGUGCCAAACCCAAGUCUUUAAACAAGCAAAAUUACAAAGUGUCCAAAAGAGCUCCUUUUAGCCUAAAUCAAUGGCAGAUGAUGGGGAAGAUAUGACCCCAUUUUGGCUACAAAACACCACCAAUCUCCGCCGUACUGAGAGGCUACGCCACCGGGUGUCGUCUCUCUUCUUUAACGCAGGACUGUUGCUCAUUAUUCUGUUGUUGGUGACGGCGAUCUUCUUUGCAGUUUUUGUAGUUCCUUCAACACUAUCUAUGUUUAAACCAACCAAUGUAAAGAAAAGCUGGGAUUCUGUUAAUGUAGUGUUGGUUCUAGUUGCUGUGAUUUUUGGUUUUCUCAGCAGAAACAACAAUGAAGAUAAAAAUCUCAAUCAAUAUCAACGAACAGCUUCUCCGAUUAACAGAAAUCAAGUUCAGAAAUCGAAUCCAUCAACACCAAAUAGUAGAUGGUUUAGUGAAGUUCGAAAUCCGAAUCCAAUAACGCCACGAACAUGGUUCGAUAAUGGAGACCGGGGUUAUUUUAGCAAUAAUGGUGGUGGAGGCGGUGGAUUGAGGAGGAGUUUUAGCUCGUAUCCUGAUCUUUGUGAAGUAUCGCCGCGGUGGAUCACGGCGGAAGAUCAUUGGCGAUUUUAUGAUGAUACUCACGUGGAUAGUUAUAGAUUUUCCGAUCCCGGUCAGCUAAAUCGCCGUCGUAGCUGGAGAGAAGUUGAUCGUUCUCCGGAACCUGAAACUAAAACUAUUUAUGAAGAUCCUUUGAGAUCUCAUAAUGUUCCUACCUUUACUCCACUAGCUACAAUUCCACCGCCGCUCUCACCGCCGUCUCCGCCUUCAGCGCCGCCAGCUCCGGCACCGGUCUAUGAGGAGAAAGUGAUAAGAGCAUCUCAUAG
rnacentral:misc_RNA from 1 species